UGAAGUUGGAGUUGCUAGUAAUCGCGAAUCAGAAUGUCGCGGUGAAUACGUUCCCGGGCCUUGUACACACCGCCCGUCAAGCCAUGAAAGCCGGGGGUACCUGAAGUGCGUAACCGCAAGGAGCGCCCUAGGGUAAAACUGGUGAUUGGGGCUAAGUCGUAACAAGGUAAC
rnacentral:rRNA from 1 species